UGCUCCUGAGCCUGUGGCAGAAAUACUGGCCAGUUUCUUGAAGCUCCAGGUGUAAAGCUCAGCAUGCCCUUCAGCGUCUUGCUGGAUCCAAGGUGGUCAUGUCCUCCCUGGAAGAUCAUGGUCUGAAAUAGAGAAGCAGGGGAAAGAGACCAGAUGGGCUUUUGGCUGUGAUCUGAGAAGAGCUGCUGAUUGGAGGUGAAAUAUUUGCACUGUGAUGAAACAAAGAACAAGAAGACAAAGAGGUUUGUUUCACUUUGAGAGAUGUCCUGUAACACCAGAAGAUGCUCGUGAGCUCAUCUUUCAUCCCCUGGCUGGCUGGAAUAAACGCCGUGUGCUGCAUGACUUGGGGCAAACCUGGGAGGACGUGACUCCUGGACGGGAGCUGACGGUGAGCUGCGGCUGUGGAGCUUCGUGCCUUGCAGAGGGCACCAAAGAAAUCAAAUAAUGCAGGGUUUCCACCACCGCUGCUGAUGGACAAAUAAGACAUGUCCUUGCAAGUGACAUUCUCUUCUCAAGUUCUGUCACCAACUUGACCUGUGUCUUCACAAGGAAAGGAGCUAAACCACCGACCUUUGUGUGCAAGACCCUCAUGCUCCCUUGCCCCCAAGCUGCAGUGUCCCAGGACAGGAUGGAUGUUCUCGCCUUCUCCUUCUCCAAGCUCAUCUCUUGCGCUGAGGAGCCUGGCUGUGGUUUAGAUCUUUUUGUGAGUGUUGUGCGACCUUAACCAGAUGCGUGGGCUUCUCUGAAUAGGAGGUUUAUUGGAAACUGUGGGGAAGCCCUCCCAGCCCUUUUUCCCGUGAGAUCCCCUCCAGUGGGAAGUAAGACUCCAGGAAGAAAUGUCAGGAGUAAAUAGCACGCUCUCAGCAUCAAGGUCACCCCCUCCCCAAAGAAAUAGGUCUACCAGAAAUCAGCAGCUCGCAUUUAGAGUUGAUUUUGGUCUAGUGACUCUUGUCAUAUGAAGAAGAUGGAGAUAUAGCUAUGGUAAACAAAUAGGCAGCAAUAAAUAGUGGCAGUAUGGUCUCUCGGCACGUUUUCAGUGAACUGCAAAUGAUCCUGCUCUAUAGCUGAUCUUCAACCAACCAGAACCAGUCAAAUAUAUAUAUAACUUUUUUUUUUU